GGUUGCUGGUCUUCAUAGAUGCAAAGAAUGGCAGGCAUGUCCUUUCCCUGGCGAUGGCCAAGGACCUAAUGAGCUGAGCUGCCUCAGUCCUCAUUCUGUGGUGGGGCGUGCUGGGGAUAGGUUGGACAUCUGAGUGCCAAGUGAGCCCCGACUGCAAGCCAAGCACUGAGCUGCACACUGAAAACGCUGACGGGAACAAGAAAAUUAACUCCGAAAGCAGCACAAAAAUGAAUUGCAGUUGGAAACACCUGAAGGAGAGAUGCCAAGUGGUUCUGAGGGCCGGAGCAGAGGCCAGACAUCCCGGGAAGGACCAUGCCAACAGGGUAAUCCAGGACUGCAGUUCUCAGAUGUGACAUUGAUGGGCAACUGAUGAACACUGAGCAUGGCCUAUGAGGUUUCCCUGAAAGACACUGAAAAUACAAAUUUCAAGACC